CUACGGGUGGCUGCAGUGGGGAAUAUUGCACAAUGGGGGAAACCCUGAUGCAGCCAUGCCGCGUGUGUGAAGAAGGCUUUCGGGUUGUAAAGCACUUUCAGUGGGGAGGAAAGGGUGCAGAUUAAUACUCUGUAUCUGUGACGUUACCCACAGAAGAAGCACCGGCUAACUCCGUGCCAGCAGCCGCGGUAAUACGGAGGGUGCGAGCGUUAAUCGGAAUUACUGGGCGUAAAGCGCGCGUAGGUGGGUAAUUAAGUCAGAUGGGAAAGCCCAGGGCUCAACCCUGGAACAGCAUUUGAAACUGGUUAACUAUAGUGUUGUAGAGGGUGGUAGAAUUUCAGGUGUAGCGGUGAAAUGCGUAGAGAUCUGAAGGAAUACCAGUGGCGAAGGCGGCCACCUGGACAGAGACUGACACUGAGGCGCGAAGGCGUGGGGAGCAAACGGGAUUAGAUACCCGCGUAGUC
rnacentral:rRNA from 1 species